UGUUGUUCAAAGAAUAACUAUUUUCUCGUCAUUCGUUCAACUUCACGUUACUUAUAGUUUAUGACGUCAGGAAUAGAACGCAGUCAAACGGAGAAAGAGAGAGAAAGAAUAGGUAAAAAUAAAAUAAAAUAAAACGUUUCGAAAGAUUUCUAUUUUAUUCGGCAAACAGAAUGAGUUGAAUUCUAUCAGUUGAUGUUGAGAAAAAAAAACUUGAUUUUAAACGUUAUUAUUUUCUAUAACAGGGUGGGAAAUUUUGUCGGAAACAAAGUUUGGAAAUUGUACGAUUUAGAACUUCGUGAAAUCCCCCGCAGAAGCGCGAAUGUAAGAAACAAAUGAACAAUGGAAGGAUGAAGAAACUUGUGAAUAUUCCAGUAUUUACUCCUGUAAAAUAAAUAUUCGUUCAAAUAAAAUAGAAAAAAAAAGUACAAUAAAUUACUGAAGUAAAAAGCUUAACAGAAAACACUCAAAAAUAUUCUUCAAAAUAUAUUAAUGAAAGAAAAUUGAAGAUGAUUAAUAUGGCAGCCUGGAUAAAGAGUGAUCAGCAUAUGAGCGCUUUAAUCAAGUUGUUGAAACUGGUGUUUGAAUCAUGUAAAAGGUUUUUAUACAGGACCAGUAAGAAACUGUAUUGUUACAGAUACACGAUACCCGCUCUGAGGAUUUUGAAAAGGAAAAGUAAUAGCAGUCUGUCGUCUAUGAUAAUUUGGGAAAACGAGAUAAUGCCCACCGAUGCCAGAGCGGAGAGAAGAAAGUCAAAGCCGUAUACAUUUUGCUGUAGAGCUUCAGGAGAUUGUUCUUGUAACGGGAAAAAUUCCAGCGAUCAGACGAUGGAAUUACGUUCGCCGUUAAUUGCAAAAACGAUGGAGUUGUAUCCGCACGACAUUUGCGAAAGUCCUGCUGUUUCAAAAAUGCAGAAUUCUCAUGUUAUACGAGCUGAUAAUGAAUUUGAGGAAUCGAUAGUGUCUCCUGUAACUGAAGAUUUUUUCAUUUAUGACGAACUCGAUUCAGAAUUUAACCAUAAGUUCACUUUCUUCUAGAACCAUCCUAAUUACAUUCCUUCCUCCAUUUUCUUUCAUACAGAUGUGUCUAUAUUUUUUUCUCCAUUAAACUGAACUAUUAUACAUACUUACACACAAACACAUACAAACACGCGUAGAUAUAUAUAUAUAUAUAUGUACUUGUGUGUGUCUAUGUGUCUGUGUGUAAACACAUGGUGUAUAAAGCGUCAUUAGCUCAAUCAAAAUUUAUCAAUGUUACGUGAAGAUCAAAAUACAAAGAAUUCUCCAUUGAUUUCGCGUUAUGGAUUUCGGAUAUCUUUUAAGGUGGUAUAUGAUGCCCUCUACGGAGGGGCGUGCGGCGACCUUGAGUACAACACAAUCCCCUUACAAACCCCUUAAAACGGGAAAGCAUUAGCUAAAAGUGGUGCAACACUUUGACUUCUCCCUUCUGCUUCCAACGUUCAAAUCCUGACAAAACCAAUUUCAUCUUCCCAGAAUCUGUUUCAUUGAACAUAUCCGUCAAAUAUUGACAAAUCCGUCCUCAUCUUAAAAAAACAAAUCUUGGUUUU